rnacentral:rRNA from 1 species
AGUGAACGCUGGCGGUAGGCCUAACACAUGCAAGUCGAACGGCAGCACAGUAAGAGCUUGCUCUUACGGGUGGCGAGUGGCGGACGGGUGAGGAAUACAUCGGAAUCUACUUUUUCGUGGGGGAUAACGUAGGGAAACUUACGCUAAUACCGCAUACGACCUACGGGUGAAAGCAGGGGAUCUUCGGACCUUGCGCGAUUGAAUGAGCCGAUGUCGGAUUAGCUAGUUGGCGGGGUAAAGGCCCACCAAGGCGACGAUCCGUAGCUGGUCUGAGAGGAUGAUCAGCCACGCUGGAACUGAGACACGGUCCAGACUCCUGCGGGAGGCAGCAGUGGGGAAUAUUGGACAAUGGGCGCAAGCCUGAUCCAGCCAUACCGCGUGGGUGAAGAAGGCCUUCGGGUUGUAAAGCCCUUUUGUUGGGAGAGAAAAGCAGCAGGUUAAUACCCCGCUGUUCUGACGGUACCCAAAGAAUAAGCACCGGCUAACUUCGUG